AGAGUUUGAUCCUGGCUCAGGAUGAACGCUAGCGGCAGGCUUAAUACAUGCAAGUCGAGGGGCAGCAUGGUGUAGCAAUACACUGAUGGCGACCGGCAAACGGGUGCGGAACACGUACGCAACCUACCCAAAACUGAUGAAUAGCCCUCCGAAAGGAGGAUUAAUACAUCGUAACUUAAUGAAGUGGCAUCACUUUAUUAAUAUAGCUCCGGCGGUUUUGGAUGAGCGUGCGCCUGAUUAGGUAGUUGGCGGGGUAAUGGCCCACCAAGCCUGCGAUCAGUAACUGGUGUGAGAGCACGACCAGUCACACGGGCACUGAGACACGGGCCCGACUCCUACGGGAGGCAGCAGUAAGGAAUAUUGGUCAAUGGACGCAAGUCUGAACCAGCCAUGCCGCGUGAAGGAUGAAGGUCCUCUGGAUUGUAAACUUCUUUUAUCUGGGACGAAACCUCUUAUUCUUAAGAGACUGACGGUACCAGAGGAAUAAGCACCGGCUAACUCCGUGCCAGCAGCCGCGGUAAUACGGAGGGUGCAAGCGUUAUCCGGAUUCACUGGGUUUAAAGGGAGCGUAGGAGGGCAGGUAAGUCAGUGGUGAAAUCUUCGAGCUUAACUCGGAACUGCCGUUGAUACUAUCUGUCUUGAAUACCGUGGAGAUGAGCGGAAUAUGUCAUGUAGCGGUGAAAUGCUUAGAUAUGACAUAGAACACCAAUUGCGAAGGCAGCUCGUUACACGAAUAUUGACUCUGAGGCUCGAAAGCGUGGGGAUCAAACAGGAUUAGAUACCCUGGUAGUCC
rnacentral:rRNA from 1 species